rnacentral:lncRNA from 1 species
CUGGAAUGGAGUAUUUUUUAAUCAACAGCAUUGUCCUAUAUUAGUGAUAAAUAAAGUUGAAUUCUUUGAUUCGCUGUUUUACGUCAUGCCCGCUAACAAAUUGAAACUUAUUUUUAGUCAAGAUUUUUAGUAUUCGUAUUGUUAUCUUAGAAAGUCUUACGGAUUAAAAUACUACAAUAGGUAACAAUUUGACAAUUUAAUAGUGUCAACCCUGUGAUUAUGACCCGUUUAUAUAGCAUAUUAAUCCUGAAUACACCGUUUGGUGGUGCGCCUGUCAGAUGCGGAACGUACAGAUAAGGUAAUAGGUAACAGGUGAUUAUACUAUUGAUAUCGGUAUCGGACUCGACCCGGAACUUCCUAAUUAUUGGCGAUAUUAAUUACGUGGAAAACAAAAGGGCCUGGAGUGGUGUAAUUUUUAAUCUACACCUUUGUACUAUAUUAGUUGUAUAUAAAGUUGAAUUCUUUGAUUCGUCGUUUUUACGUGAUGACGGCUGACAAAUUGGACCUCGUAAUUUUAGUAUUAUAGAUAUUCAA